ACCUGGGGUUGACGCCCUGCCCUCCGCGACCAAGGCUCUUACCUCACUGGAGAUUUGAAAAACAGUCCCUGCUUCUUAAGAGUGGUGGUGAAAUUUGAGAAAAUAAGUGCAGGACUGCAAAGGAGUAAUGCUGAGGGUGCUUGGAUGUGAGACCAUAAAGUUCUAAAUGACGCCUCCCUGCCAGCUGGUUUGCUUUGGUGAGCACUGGAGCCUCUGUGAUGGGAGUUAGCUGUGAGAACCACAUGAGGACCAUGUGCAUGGAAGCACUUUGUAAAAUGUCAAGCCCUUCACGUGUGUUAACAGGACCGAGUGUCUACAACUUUCCGUGGCCUGGAGCAGUUCUACAAGUCCCCAGAGGCCCGGCUACGUCCCACUUUUCCUGACCAUGAACACACCCAAAUGAAACAGGUAAGUUCCUCUGUGCACACC